rnacentral:rRNA from 1 species
GACUGCUAAGACUGGAUAGGAGACAAGAAGGCAUCUUCUUGUUUUUAAAAGACCUAGCAAUAGGUAUGCUUAGGGAGGAGCUUGCGUCACAUUAGUUAGUUGGUGGGGUAAAGGCCUACCAAGACUAUGAUGUGUAGCCGGGCUGAGAGGUUGAACGGCCACAUUGGGACUGAGACACGGCCCAAACUCCUACGGGAGGCAGCAGUAGGGAAUUUUCGGCAAUGGAGGAAACUCUGACCGAGCAACGCCGCGUGAACGAUGAAGUAUUUCGGUACGUAAAGUUCUUUUAUUAGGGAAGAAUAAAUGAUGGAAAAAUCAUUCUGACGGUACCUAAUGAAUAAGCCCCGGCUAACUAUGUGCCAGCAGCCGCGGUAAUACAUAGGGGGCAAGCGUUAUCCGGAAUUAUUGGGCGUAAAGGGUGCGUAGGCGGUUAAAUAAGUUUAUGGUCUAAGUGCAAUGCUCAACAUUGUGAUGCUAUAAAAACUGUUUAGCUAGAGUAAGAUAGAGGCAAGUGGAAUUCCAUGUGUAGUGGUAAAAUGCGUAAAUAUAUGGAGGAACACCAGUAGCGAAGGCGGCUUGCUGGGUCUUUACUGACGCUGAGGCACGAAAGCGUGGGGAGCAAACAGGAUUAGAUACCCUGGUAGUCCACGCCGUAAACGAUGAGUACUAAACGUUGGGUAAAACCAGUGUUGAAGUUAACACAUUAAGUACUCCGCCUGAGUAGUACGUACGCAAGUAUGAAACUUAAAGGAAUUGACGGGACUCCGCACAAGCGGUGGAUCAUGUUGUUUAAUUCGAAGGUACCCGAAAAACCUCACCAGGUCUUGACAUGCUUCUGCAAAGCUGUAGAAACACAGUGGAGGUUAUCAGUUGCACAGGUGGUGCAUGGUUGUCGUCAGCUCGUGUCGUGAGAUGUUGGGUUAAGUCCCGCAACGAGCGCAACCCUUAUUGUUAGUUACCAGCACGUAAUGGUGGGGACUUUAGCAAGACUGCCAGUGAUGAAUUGGAGGAAGGUGGGGACGACGUCAAAUCAUCAUGCCCCUUAUGACCUGGGCUACAAACGUGAUACAAUGGCUGUUACAAAGGGUAGCUGAAGCGCAAGUUUUUGGCGAAUCUCAAAAAAACAGUCUCAGUUCGGAUUGAAGUCUGCAACUCGACUUCAUGAAGUUGGAAUCGCUAGUAAUCGCGAAUCAGCAUGUCGCGGUGAAUACGUUCUCGGGGUUUGUACACACCGCCCGUCAAACC